AGCAUGCCUGUUCUCAAAGAAGCCCAAACAGCUGACUGAGACAGAUGCUGAUACUUACAUCCAACCAAUGGACAGAAGCUGAGGAUCCCUGUGGUUGAACUAGGGAAAAGCUGAAAGUAGCUGUGGAGAGGAAUGACCCCAUGGGAAGACCAGCAGUCUUAACUAACAUGGACUUCUGAAAUCUAUACACUAAGUCACCAACCAGACAGCAUACACAGCUGACAUGAGGCCUCUGACACAGGUACAGCAGAGGGCUGCCUGAUCUGGCCUCAGUGAGAGAAGAGGAACCUAACCCUAGAGAGAUUUGAGACCCCGGAUAGUGGGACGAUCUGGUGGCUUGGGGGUUUGGAGGGCAGAGACAUCCUCUUGGAUACAGGGGGAGGAUGUAUCAGAGCUGGGGACCGAACCCAGGACCUUGCGCUUCCUAGCCAUUAUCGGAGAUCAUCAAUUAAAGCUCUAUCUUGGUCUUGGGCCUCAACAAGGACCACAAGGCAACUACGAAUAUCAUCAAACAAAGGCACAGGCAGUGCCAUGGUCAUCCCACCAAGCACACCAAGAUGUUAUGGGAAAUGAUCCAGGAGAUGCACGGUUUCCUGUGAGUGGUAUGCCAUGGUGUCUAAGAACAUGAAGAGGAGAACCCAAAUGCACCAUGGAAGAGAAGAAGGAGGAGCAUUUUCCAGAAGAAUGAAGGCUUCAUUCAGUAGAUGAAGUAGAGAUGAAGAUUCCAGAUUGAUAUCAUCUAGAAUUCUUCGUACUUUGUUACUCAAAUAUGUCAUGUCUUCAGUAAAAUCAUCCAGUUUUAAAGGGACUCUUUAAAGGAAUUUGGUUACCGGAGAAAGUUUAGUACUGGCCUAAGGAUGUUGUGAAGAAAAAGAGUCCCUGAUCCAACAACAGGAAAGGUCUCUCUGGGAUAGUACUGAAUUGCAUUUGUCUGGAAUGGAACCUGACAAUUUUUAUUCACAACGAAGAAGCUUACUCCUCCUCCUGGGAUCAUCAUCCAUUCAUUUACCUCCAGUAAGGCUACGACUUUGGAUAUAACCAGCAGCUUCAAGAUCCAGCUAAUAUGAAUUUUGCAAUAGAAUGGACGACUGUACCUUGAAAUAUAAACUAACUACCUCUUU